CUCAGGGAAUAUCAGAGAUCAGACUUCAGUAUCGCCAUGAAGGGUCUCCUAACACUUGAACUACAGGCCAGAAAACCUCUAAAUGAAGAUGCAGCGGCUCCAUCCUGAUCAGACUCCACACAGAGGGAAGCCUUCUCGUUCUUUCAGUGACUCUACCCGAAGCUCCGGGAUCGCAGGAAUAAGCCUGUGAUGUGGUCUUGGCAGAAGCACAGACUCGUAUAAACAGUGCCGCCUGGUUACAUCACGGUUGUUGAUACAGGAGGAAUAUUCCGAUGUCGCUGGCACACGGAGAGCCGGAGCAACAUGUAAACACCAGCGUGGCUUCAGCUGCUUCCAUCUGGAUUAACGCUUCGACAAACUGAAGUCGAAAUCAUCUGAUUCCCUGCAGGGACGGAGAGGAGCUGGAACAUGUUUGGAGGAUUCUCACCAGCUGCUCCUGAACGCUGGACGCUGAAGUCUGGUGGCAAAUCAAGAUACUAGAGCAAAGUUCACAGGGACCACCAGAAGUUCCUUCAUCUUCCAAUCAUAAAGACUCGUACAGGUGUGGCUGCAGACAUGCAAGAGGUGGAUCAGAACCAGAACUGUGAAACUGUAAAAUGUCCCUGAAAUAUAGUUUUCAGUUUUUCAGGGUGUUUUUUUUUGUUGUUGUUGGACUCAACACCAGAACAAAUGUUGACCACACACAUUUUAUUUUUACACGUAUGUUGAAACUUAACGUGUCUUUAUGUGGCAACUGUGUUUGAAUCACUGCACUUCUGGUCCGGUUAGGUUUAGCCACUUGGUUAGAUUUUGGUUUGAAAUACAAGCUUUGGCGCCAGAAAAACGACUCCGCUUUUCUUCUUCUGACUCCCAGACCAACCAGAAAAAGCUGUAAAAUGUUUCUGCCUCUUUUUCACUCGAGUGUUUCUCCUGACAGUGACUGUUUAGCUCACGGAAUAAAAAAACUUUAACAAAGUGGAUACACACCAGGGCCUGAAUCACCGGUGUAAUACAGCAGCCGGCGGCUCUGAAGUGUAUUUACAUGUGAACAUGGAGCGUUAUUUAUUUUACGGCGGGAUGGAAAUACAGCGUGGCUCGCUCUUUUUCUUCGCGCAUCCAUCAGACGCUGCUUCUUCAUUCUGCUCCCUGCUUCUCUUCCUCUGUGGUGUCUGAAGACAUUUCACAGGCCUCACUACCAAACCUGUCUCACAGCUAGUGUUUGUGUUUCGGCCAGUUCUAGUAUUUCAUGCAUGAGAAGUUUCGCCUCGGACCUUUGAAUCUGAGUUGACUGGUUUCUCAUCGUGACUUGAAGCAGCGUCUGAUGAAGCAGCACCGUCGACGGAUUACACGUCAGUGUCGUCAGCCUCGUCCGGCCUGCCUUGUUCCCAGUGUGUCCUGCAGCCCGGCAGCUCCUCUCAUAUACACUUGCUCAGAAAUCUCGGGGCAACUGAUCAAAAUGCCUCAUCAGGACAGCUUCAGUCGAGGAAAGAUUUUAAUUUCCCUCGUCAGUGUAGAAUUUAAAUGUAUGUCAGACCCUAAUAAAUCCACGGCUGAACCGCCAGGUCGGAGCGAACAAGCACUUCUUUUGAACGCUGUGAAAAAUAAAUAAAUCCCCAACGCGCUGUUGAAUCACAGCCUCAGCGAAACCGCCUCGAGAGUCAAGCGUGGCAUCAGACAUGAACAAAUGAGCAGCUGUAGUCGUGCAUCUGAUCCCCACAGACUGAUACAAAGAGUGUUUAUCAGAGAUGUGUUUGCGGGCAGCGAAGCCUCUACAGUCGAUCAGAUUACACACACGGAGGAAAAACGCGGUUUCCUGAUUUGUUUUAUCGCGGUGAUCACGCUGCAGGGGCGACUCAGAGCACCAUGAAGCUCAGUUUUCUUCAACUUGCUCAUUUUCUUGCUCCACGUCUGACUUUGUAACUUGAGUUUUAUGUCACUUUUCUGCAUCUGCGAUCUCGGAAAAAUACUUUUUCCGUCCUGAGAUAUUCACACAGGGCCUGUUUUAGGUUCAGCGCCUUGCUCAAGGGCGCUGUGCAGAGCCGGUUAGCAGGAGGGGAGGGGAGGCCGCUGCUCAUUCAUUUCUCCAGCUGGUCCUUUGGGUAACAAGCCUGCUAUUGUGACCUGCAGGCGCCUGCUGCCCUAAAUUUAAGUCAUAUGAAUAAAACGAGCCUCGGUGAGGAUCCGCAGAUAUGACUGCUGACCUCAGAGUCGAGCCCUGAGGUGCGACUCCGUGCCGGCUUCUCCAUCUGCUUCAGGGUUUCACUCAAAGAGGUCAGACUCACCAAAACCUUCUCGUACACUGUCACCACAUUAACAACACAAACCAGGAUCACUGUCGACAUUUUCGACGGAAACCGCAGACACGUUGCAACGCUACAUUUCUUUAGGUUGGAUUUUUGUGUUGUGACAGAGCUGCGCUCGUGGUUCCUUCACUACUGUAGUUUACAUCCACCAUCCUCAGUUCAGGGUCUGCAUCCU